rnacentral:rRNA from 1 species
AACGAACGCUGGCGGCAUGCCUAACACAUGCAAGUCGAACGAGACCUUCGGGUCUAGUGGCGCACGGGUGCGUAACGCGUGGGAAUCUGCCCUUGGGUUCGGAAUAACAGUGAGAAAUUACUGCUAAUACCGGAUGAUGUCUUCGGACCAAAGAUUUAUCGCCCAGGGAUGAGCCCGCGUAGGAUUAGCUAGUUGGUGGGGUAAUGGCCUACCAAGGCGACGAUCCUUAGCUGGUCUGAGAGGAUGAUCAGCCACACUGGGACUGAGACACGGCCCAGACUCCUACGGGAGGCAGCAGUGGGGAAUAUUGGACGAUGGGCGCAAGCCUGAUCCAGCAAUGCCGCGUGAGUGAUGAAGGCCUUAGGGUUGUAAAGCUCUUUUACCCGGGAUGAUAAUGACAGUACCGGGAGAAUAAGCACCGGCUAACUCCGUG